rnacentral:rRNA from 1 species
CGAAUUUGAUGGGAGCUUGCUCCCUGAAAAUUAGCGGCGGACGGGUGAGUAACACGUGGGCAACCUACCUGUAAGCCUGGGAUAACUUCGGGAAACCGGAGCUAAUACCGGAUAAUUUCUUUCUUCACAUGAAGAGAGGUUGAAAGACGGCUUUGCUGUCACUUACAGAUGGGCCCGCGGCGCAUUAGCUAGUUGGUGAGGUAACGGCUCACCAAGGCCACGAUGCGUAGCCGACCUGAGAGGGUGAUCGGCCACACUGGGACUGAGACACGGCCCAGACUCCUACGGGAGGCAGCAGUAGGGAAUCUUCCGCAAUGGACGAAAGUCUGACGGAGCAACGCCGCGUGAGUGAAGAAGGUCUUCGGAUCGUAAAACUCUGUUAUCAGGGAAGAACAAGUACCGGAGUUACUGCCGGUACCUUGACGGUACCUGACCAGAAAGCCACGGCUAACUACGUGCCAGCAGCCGCGGUAAUACGUAGGUGGCAAGCGUUGUCCGGAAUUAUUGGGCGUAAAGCGCGCGCAGGCGGUUCUUUAAGUCUGAUGUGAAAUCUUGC